rnacentral:rRNA from 1 species
AUACGUAGGGUGCGAGCGUUGUCCGGAAUUACUGGGCGUAAAGAGCUCGUAGGUGGUUUGUCGCGUCGUCUGUGAAAUUCCGGGGCUUAACUCCGGGCGUGCAGGCGAUACGGGCAUAACUUGAGUACUGUAGGGGAGACUGGAAUUCCUGGUGUAGCGGUGAAAUGCGCAGAUAUCAGGAGGAACACCGGUGGCGAAGGCGGGUCUCUGGGCAGUAACUGACGCUGAGGAGCGAAAGCAGGGGUAGCGAACAGGAUUAGAUACCCGGGUAGUCCAUGCCGUAAACGGUGGGCGCUAGGUGUAGGGGUCUUCCACGACUUCUGUGCCGUAGCUAACGCAUUAAGCGCCCCGCCUGGGGAGUACGGCCGCAAGGCUAAAACUCAAAGGAAUUGACGGGG